rnacentral:lncRNA from 1 species
AUUAAUUAAUAAUGUAAAAAAUCGUUUUAUUAACUUUGUAUAUAUAAAUUAAAUUUAUUAUUAAUUUAUCAUGUGUAUUAAUGUUAUGAUAUAAAUGUUUCAGUGAUUAGGUAAUCGUACAUGUUUAAUUUCUAAGUAUUUAACGCGACAUGAUUUUACUAAUUCAACCAUAAAUAUAAACCUGCACCAAAGUUCGUUCUUGUUAGUUUUCAUCAAGACUUGACGCCAAAUGAUUUUGUUGUUCUAUUCCAGUUGGAUGAUUAGUUUCAGCAUUUGGAUCCCUACUUCUCUCCAAAUAAGCUUCCACGCAUUAACGCAUUUAAAAAUCGACCCCGUUCUAUUAAAAUUAAAUAAUUUAAAUUUUAUAUUAAUAUUUUAAAAUAUAUAAUAAAAGGUUUAAAUAUAAUUUUGUUUUAUUUUAUAUUUUUAGUUUGAUUUAUUUUGGUAUUUAUUUUUUUAAUAAUGUAUUUUAAUUUUUGUCACAAUCACAACAAAAAUUAUAACAACAUUUAGUCAUUAAAAUCUCAUUUAACAAUUCUCAAC